GCCGGUGUGGCGGAAUGGCAGACGCACCGCACUCAAAAUGCGGCGGGAAACCAUGCCGGUUCAAGUCCGGCCACCGGCACCA
rnacentral:tRNA from 2 species